rnacentral:misc_RNA from 1 species
GUAGGUGAACCUGCGGAGGGAUCAUUCACAUGAUAUAAACCUUUUUUUUAAACAAACUGUGAACUAUAUAUAUAAAAACUAUUCGUGUUUGUUUAUUUCAUAUAUUCAAAACACUGUCAUUCGAUGAACAUUAGAUAGCUGGCUUUUGAUUUUUUAUAAUCUCUUUCUCAGCUUGAUUUGUUUUUUAUGACUAAACAUCAUAAAAACAAUCAACCAAACAUAGAAACAACUCUAUGCCCUGGAUAUCUUG